AUUGAACGCUGGCGGAAUGCUUUACACAUGCAAGUCGAGCGGCAGCACGGGGGCAACCCUGGUGGCGAGCGGCGAACGGGUGAGUAAUACAUCGGAACAUGCCCAGUCGUGGGGGAUAACACUUCGAAAGAAGUGCUAAUACCGCAUACGUCCUGAGGGAGAAAGCGGGGGAUCUUCGGACCUCGCGCGAUUGGAGUGGCCGAUGUCAGAUUAGCUAGUUGGUGGGGUAAAGGCCUACCAAGGCAACGAUCUGUAGCUGGUCUGAGAGGAUGAUCAGUCACACUGGAACUGAGACACGGUCCAGACUCCUACGGGAGGCAGCAGUGGGGAAUAUUGGACAAUUGGCGAAAGCCUGAUCCAGCCAUGCCGCGUGUGUGAAGAAGGUCUUCGGAUUGUAAAGCACUUUAAGUUGGGAGGAAGGGUUGUAGAUUAAUACUCUGCAAUUUUGACGUUACCGACAGAAUAAGCACCGGCUAACUCUGUGCCAGCCGCCGCGGUAA
rnacentral:rRNA from 1 species